GCGUUUAGUGGGGGCAUUUGCCUAUAUAUACGUAGGUACUUAUGCACCUACAUCGCGUUUUCCUUGUUCUUGUAUAAAGGGCACUACAUUGCUCGGGGGAAAAUUUCCAAAAAGCAAGGAUAUAAUUUACGUGUGGCUGUAAUUGGUUUCCACGAAUUGCUUAUCAUUGAGAAUCUAUUUUGUAGACAUACAACUACGUAUGGAACUAAAUAAGAGUAGUAGGUAAACCGGCAAGUUGCGCUAUAGGUAUAAUUGGUAAAUUAGAAAAGUAUACCAAAGAAAAAUUGUAUAGCGCGCUUGCACUUUGGAAUCUAAAUCGAAUACAUUCCCCCCCGGACCCUGCAGGUGUUGAAACAAAGACGUCUGUUGCAAGCAUCAUGUAGCAGCUCAUCCCUCUUCUCUCCGCUAAAGACACUGGUUGAAAUUUUCCAUUAGUUCAUUCGCGUCUCUCUUCUUACAUACGUCAUGGCGAAAAAGUACCCAAACCUUACAACCAAAAACCGGAAAUGCAAAGGAAGAGUUUACAAAAAAAACGGCAACCAAAUUAACAACAACAGUCCUUAACUAAAAUAAUGCGAGGACUGCAGAAAAACGCAGUGGCAGUGCACCCCCGGCGACCUCCCCGCUUCCCCCCGGUAUUAUACGAAGGACGACGAUAAUUUGAAUCUAAUAAUUAAAAAAUUUGGUCAACUAUUGCGGAAGUAGGUACAAACUGUUUUAUAUUUCUCUCCCACCCCUACUAUUUUUGCGCACGCAUGUUAAAAAUAAUAACUUGUUUACAGUAAAUAUGGGGGAACAUUUCGAGUAGGGUCAUAGCACAGCUGAUAGAAUGGAGUUGCUGCUGCAUAUUUUCUUUUUGCAUAGCUUUAUCACUUUGGGAUACCAGCACCAUCGCAUGCCUUAAAUUAACUUCAAUUAAUAUCUACUCAGGUGGUGUGGAACCAAUCCUACGAAUGUACCUCACACAACCACAUCAACAACCCUCGAGCGGCAAAGGUCAAGAAGACCUAAUGAAAAGCGUCAGCCUACUUUUCGGCUCUGGAAGCGACCGACCUGUAAGGAACUGGCGCACAAGACCUACGGGCGGGCCUAAAAAAUAUGGAUACCGCUGCAAACUGGUGGAUGCGCAAACCGUCGACAAAACAACUGGACUCUUCCAAAAGAGAGGCGCUUGGAAAAAAGGAUUUUCAAUUUGUUGAAGAAUUUCUUAAGUUCACUUUUAAAAUAUAUUUAUAUUGAAAGAUGUAAAUUAAUAGCUUUGUUAUGCAACCCAGAAUGCAGAAGCGAGCUAGUAUGGUUGCAACACUGCAUCCGACAUUUCGCGAAGAUGCAGUUAAUGCAACUAAACACAGUAUCAUACUUUUCCGAAUGCAGAAUGGGACUGUCACUAGUGUGGUUGCAUAAUCACAGUUGCAUCCGAGCAUAUAUUGUGCGUAUGUUCUAUCCAUGAUUUCAUAAAUAUUUUAAGGUGGAUAACCGACUUCAAUAACUCCUUGCCCCCUACAAAUAAGUCUUCAUGAGUGCUGAUAGGAUGGCGCAGAAAUUUAGCAUGAAGAAAAAAAAAGGAUGUGCAUGAAUUAUUUAAAAAAUAAACUGUAUAUAAGAAAGCUCUCUUAACGGCGCUCCCCCCUAUAACAUUUCCUAUAAUAGCAAAACAAUUUCUUACCCCCCUAAGAUAAACAUUCCCAAAAGUAGUAGAUUACAUACCGAGGUGGGAAGUGGUUCAUUACCUACGCCGAGAGGCUUUGGGCAAUUAUUUUGAGGAAUAUAAUAUGAGGUACCCGUGACAUCCACGCCUGUCGGUCAAUGAAUUAUUUUUAUUUGUUACUCAGUUGUAAACGUUGAUUAACAAGACAAAACGCAAACGGGUAAACGUCAUCUU